UCCGGUUUGUCACCGGCAGUCUGGCGUGAGUCCCCAACUAAAUGAUGGCAACACGCCACAGGGGUUGCGCUCGUUACGGGACUUAACCCAACAUUUCACAACACGAGCUGACGACAGCCAUGCACCACCUGUCACCGACCCCCGAAGGGACCCCCCAUCUCUGAAGGAUUUCCGGCGAUGUCAAACCCAGGUAAGGUUCUUCGCGUCGCAUCGAAUUAAUCCGCAUGCUCCGCCGCUUGUGCGGGCCCCCGUCAAUUCCUUUGAGUUUUAGCCUUGCGGCCGUACUCCCCAGGCGGGGCGCUUAAUGCGUUAGCUACGGCACGGAACCCGUGGAAAGGCCCCACACCUAGCGCCCAACGUUUACAGCAUGGACUAC
rnacentral:misc_RNA from 1 species